rnacentral:rRNA from 1 species
GCACAAGCGGAGGAGCAUGUGGUUAAUUCGAUGAUACGCGAGGAACCUUACCUGGGCUCGAACGUAAGAUGACUGUAGGUGAAAGCUUACAUCUCUUCGGAGCAUUUUACGAGGUGCUGCAUGGUUGUCGUCAGCUCGUGCCGUGAGGUGUCGGGUUAAGUCCCAUAACGAGCGCAACCCCUACCUUUAGUUGCCAUCAGGUUAAGCUGGGGACUCUAAAGGAACUGCCUACGCAAGUAGUGAGGAAGCGGGGAUGACGUCAAAUCAGCACGGCCCUUACGUCCAGGGCUACACACGUGCUACAAUGGCCGAUACAGAGGGCAGCUACCUGGUGACAGGAUGCAAAUCUCCAAAGUCGGUCUCAGUUCGGAUCGGAGUCUGCAACCCGACUCCGUGAAGUUGGAUUCGCUAGUAAUCGCGCAUCAGCCAUGGCGCGGUGAAUACGUUCCCGGGCCUU